GCUAGCGUUGUUCGGAAUUACUGGGCGUAAAGCGCGCGUAGGCGGUUACUCAAGUCAGAGGUGAAAGCCCGGGGCUCAACCCCGGAACUGCCUUUGAAACUGGGUGACUAGAAUCUUGGAGAGGUCAGUGGAAUUCCGAGUGUAGAGGUGAAAUUCGUAGAUAUUCGGAAGAACACCAGU
rnacentral:rRNA from 1 species